UUCGGGGGUUAUCGCAUCCACCCUUUGUCUACGUGUACCUCUGUUGUUUCCUCGGCGGGCUUGCCCGCCGCUAGGAACCCCUUAAACUCUUGUAUUUACAGUAUUAAAAUCUCUGAUAACUAUUUAAAUUAUUACAACUUUCAACAAUGGAUCUCUUGGUUCUGGCAUCGAUGAAGAACGCAGCGAAAUGCGAAAAGUAGUGUGAAUUGCAGAAUUCCGUGAAUCAUCGAAUCUUUGAACGCACAUUGCGCCCCUCGGUAUUCCGUGGGGCAUGCCUGUUCGAGCGUCAUUUACACCCUCAAGCUCUGCUUGGUGUUGGGCGUCUGUCCCGCUUCAUGCGUGGACUCGCCCCAAAGUCAUUGGCAGCGGUCGUGCCAGCUUCUCGCGCAGCACAUUUGCGUUUCUUGAAGUUUGGUGGAUCAGCAUCCAGUAAGCUCUUUUAUGACUUGACCUCGGAUCAGGUAGGGAUACCCGCUGAACUUAAGCAUAUCAAUAAGCGGAGGAAAAGAAACCAACUGGGAUUGCCCUAGUAACGGCGAGUGAAGCGGCAAUAGCUCAAAUUUGAAAUCUGGCUCCUUUUAGGGGUCCGAGUUGUAAUUUGCAGAGGGUGCUUUGGCGUUGGUAGCGGUCUAAGUUCCUUGGAACAGGACAUCGCAGAGGGUGAGAAUCCCGUUUGUGGUCGCAUGCCUUCGCCGUGUAAAGCCCCUUCGACGAGUCGAGUUGUUUGGGAAUGCAUCUCUAAAUGGGAGGUAAAUUUCUUCUAAAGCUAAAUACUGGCCAGAGACCGAUA
rnacentral:rRNA from 1 species